rnacentral:rRNA from 1 species
CCUACGGGAGGCUGCAGUGGGGAAUAUUGGACAAUGGGGGGAACCCUGAUCCAGCCAUGCCGCGUGUGUGAAGAAGGCCCUCGGGUUGUAAAGCACUUUCAGUGAGGAAGAACGCCUGGUGGUUAAUACCCAUCAGGAAAGACAUCACUCACAGAAGAAGCAACGGCUAACUCCGUGCCAGCAGCCGCGGUAAUACGGAGGGUGCGAGCGUUAAUCGGAAUUACUGGGCGUAAAGCGCGCGUAGGUGGCUUGAUAAGCCGGUUGUGAAAGCCCCGGGCUCAACCUGGGAACGGCAUCCGGAACUGUCAAGCUAGAGUGCAGGAGAGGAAGGUAGAAUUCCCGGUGUAGCGGUGAAAUGCGUAGAGAUCGGGAGGAAUACCAGUGGCGAAGGCGGCCUUCUGGACUGACACUGACACUGAGGUGCGAAAGCGUGGGUAGCAAACAGGAUUAGAUACCCGUGUAGUC